AGCGGAGUGGAGCAGUUGGUAGCUCGUCGGAACCAUAACCCGAAAGGCCACAGGUUCGAGUCCUGUCUCCGCAACCA
rnacentral:tRNA from 1 species